rnacentral:lncRNA from 1 species
GAAAAGAGUAGAAAAAUGUGUUUCCUUGCAUGAGGCGUAGCUCCAGCCAUAAUCUCAGGGGUGCUCAAGGGAGCAGAGGUGAGUAGGGGAUGCAUCCCAGGCAGGGCAGGGGUCUUGUGCUAAAAACCCCAUCCAGGAACAGCUUUGAAGCCUGCUUGAAUACCAGAAGCCCCUCCAGUUUUCCUGGCGUGAUGCUGGUUCCAAGGGCUCUGCCAGGCCCAUCCCACCACACCUCAGCGGAUCUGGUGCCUGGAUCACUGUGUUUUCCCUGCUGGACCCGUCCUGAGCAUUAUUAUUUGGGCCAUGCUUCCCGGGUUUUAAAUUAUUCUGUCUCAACUAGCUGAUGGCAUUUGUUACAUGUCAUGCAAUGUUCCUGGUAAUUAAUUGGUAUUUAAUUAAUUAAGGGAUAAUGGCAUUCAAUUAAGGGAUGCCUGUGGAACACUGUCACUGGGUAAUUAAUGGCUUCCUGCUGCUUAAGCAAAGCUGAGGCGCUUGUGGAAAAUAAAUAGAGGAGAAGCUUAGAUGUUUGUUCCCUUGGCAGGAGACUGGUCGUGUCCCAGAGCUCUCGGAUUCUCCAAGACCCCAUUUCCAGACCCUUGUCCAGGGCGAGCCAGGCUUUUCCCCCCAGCACAUGUAAACUUGAGAUUGCUGCCACUGACAUCCAGGAGCAUCCUUUCCGGUAGAAAACAGGCCUCGUCUCCUCUUGGCUUUGGAGCAGAGCAUGGAAAAAAUGCGAAUUUCCUGUGACAUGAAGACAAAUGAAAAUGGAUUUCUUGAGCCAAACAGCGAACCCAGUCAUGGCUGGCUCUUCCAGCAGCAGGCAUCCGUGGUGCAGAAGUGCCCCUUCCAUGCUGCUGCAUUUGAAGAGAUGCAACUUCCACUUGGGUAACAGGACCAGAAUGCAAGGGAGCUCUGGGAUGGAGGAAGGCCAAGGGAAUUUCCACUACAAAGUUAAAGCCUAUGAACUGGUAUGGUUAACCAUUUCUUUGUCAUUUUGUCCCAUGUGUGUUUCUGAAAGCAUGUGUGUGUUCGUGCCAGCAUUUGUGAGAUGCACCUGUAGUCACUGAUCUCUCAGCAUUUUUGGGUUGUUUUGGAUGAACCUUGUUUUUUCCAGUGGAGGUGUACAGGAUGGACGUGGUGGAGCUUACACACUUUCCUGAGACCUCUGGGAUGGAAGGUAAUGUGGAAAUGGAAACUCUAAUUACAGAUCCAGCAAGCUCCACUUUCUAAUUAAUUGCAGAUUAAGUUAAAAAUAGAACUGGCUAUGUAAAAUAAACCUAAAAGCCCCAGUCUACCUGGUUACA